UACGGAGGGUGCAAGCGUUAUCCGGAUUCACUGGGUUUAAAGGGUGCGUAGGUGGGCAGGUAAGUCAGUGGUGAAAUCUCCGGGCUUAACUCGGAAACUGCCAUUGAUACUAUCUUUCUUGAAUACCGUGGAGGUCAGCGGAAUAUGUCAUGUAGCGGUGAAAUGCUUAGAUAUGACAUAGAACACCAAUUGCGAAGGCAGCUGGCUACACGAAUAUUGCACUCAGGCACGAAAGACGUGGG
rnacentral:rRNA from 1 species